UCCCCGUUACCGAGGCAGUCUAAAUAGAAAAAUCCAACUAUUCAUAAGGGUUGCGCUCGUUAAUGGACUUAACCAAACAUCUCACGACACGAGCUGACGACGGCCAUGCAACACCUGUCACAUGGUUCCAAAAGGCACACUCUGCUUUCGCAGUGCUUCCAUGGAUGUCAAGUCCUGGUAAGGUUCUUCGCUUAGCGUCGAAUUAAAGAACACGCUCCACCGCUUGUGCGGGUCCCCGUCAAUUCCUUUGAGUUUUAAUCUUGCGACCGUACUCCCCAGGCGGGAUGCUUAACGCGUUAGCUUCGCUACAAGAAGGGUCGAUACUCCUUACAGCUAGCAUCCAUCGUUUACGGCGUGGACUAC
rnacentral:misc_RNA from 1 species